rnacentral:rRNA from 1 species
GACGAACGCUGGCGGCGUUCUUAACACAUGCAAGUCGAACGGAAAGGCCCUGCUUGCAGGGUACUCGAGUGGCGAACGGGUGAGUAACACGUGGGUGAUCUGCCCUGCACUUCGGGAUAAGCCUGGGAAACUGGGUCUAAUACCGGAUAGGAGCCAUUUUUAGUGUGAUGGUUGGAAAGUUUUUUCGGUGUAGGAUGAGCUCGCGGCCUAUCAGCUUGUUGGUGGGGUAAUGGCCUACCAAGGCGGCGACGGGUAGCCGGCCUGAGAGGGUGGACGGCCACAUUGGGACUGAGAUACGGCCCAGACUCCUACGGGAGGCAGCAGUGGGGAAUAUUGCACAAUGGGCGCAAGCCUGAUGCAGCGACGCCGCGUGGGGGAUGACGGCCUUCGGGUUGUAAACUCCUUUCGCUAGGGACGAAGCUUUUUGUGACGGUACCUAGAUAAGAAGCACCGGCUAACUACGUG